rnacentral:rRNA from 1 species
UACGUAGGGUGCGAGCGUUGUCCGGAAUUAUUGGGCGUAAAGAGCUCGUAGGCGGUGUGUCACGUCGGCCGUGAAAACCUGCAGCUUAACUGUGGGCGUGCGGUCGAUACGGGCAUCACUGGAGUUCGGCAGGGGAGACUGGAAUUCCUGGUGUAGCGGUGAAAUGCGCAGAUAUCAGGAGGAACAUCAGUGGCGAAAGCGACUUCCUGGACCAAUACUGACGCUCAUGUGCGAAAGCGUGGGGAGCAAACAGG